GCUACAGGGGAGGUUUAGGGAAGACCGAGAAACUACUGAGAGCUGAGGUCAUGUGUUCCUAUUCUCUGGAAUAGGGCUUAGAAAGGGGGCAGAUCACAGACAGCUAAUUCUGCAGGAGCAGUGUUCCAGCAGAGAAAGGAGGAGCUGGGAGAAGCUGGUGGAUGAGGAACCAGAGGAGAGCCUGUGUUAAACACAAACUAGAGACAUCACUGCUGUCUUCUCUAGGUUCAUCUUCAGCCACUUGUCUUUCAUUAGACAGAGGGAUAGCUGGAAGAUGGUGCUGCCUGCAUCUGAGGAAAGAGAGAUGUCCUGCUGACCUUUGGGAUCACGUGAACUGAAAAUUUCCUCAAACUGCUUAAUGUAGGUAAUUACAAAAGAUGAGAGAGACGAUUUAGACCUGAGCCAUAAGGAACUCCACAGGUGAACACCUAGUACCACUAGAAAUCAAUCUACCCCAUGCUGCACUAACUGAAGUUCUUGAGUGGCCUUCAGAGAAUUCAUCCAACACGGAGGUUACAAACUCAUGGAUAGUUGUGCUGACCUUUGCAUCGGGAAGAAAUGGUUGAAACCUGACAAAAGGCAGAUGGGAAAAGGUGCUGAUGUCCACAGUUCCUACUUAAGAGUAUAUGAACAGAUGGGGGUUCAGAGUGAACUUCUUUGAAAGAUGGUGUAUGUUCCAUAUGGAACUGUAGAUGUUUCCCACUAGCUUCCAACAUCACCUCUGUUAUAUUUGGAAGAAACCUCAGCUGGCUCACUUUCUCAGACCUUGUCUCAAACAAACACUGGAAAAGCAGAGAAACUAUUCCAAGGACUGAACAUCAUCAAUGUGUCAGUCCAAACCAACUCUAUAUUCCUUGGCUAUCCCUCUGUACUAUACAGUUAAUGACAUACUGGAGCCCUGGCACACCCUGCAUCAGAGGACUCUUGGGUGUAUGAAUAAUUGCCUAACACACCUUCUCAGAAAAGAGAGAACAGCUGAAGCAAGAUUGUGUUUACACUGCUAGGAUAUUGUUCAUGGUCAACAGUAUUGAAAGCUCCUGACUGCAUGUAUAACCAACUCUCCAACCCCAGAAGGAGAUAUUGCACUGGUUUCAACAGUGAAUCUCUCAGCCAUGCCCAGCCUGAAAGACAGAUUGAAAAGGCUGUAACAUUCUGGGGUUAUCUGGAAACAAUCACCUUCCCCCAAAAUGGGAAGCUAGGGGCAGCAUGGUCUCUCCAUCUCUGGCUGGAAAAGGAGGAGUGUUGACAUCAGAAAAGGAAAAUGGCUUCCCAGAUGCCACUCUCAGUGACAUUGCUGGGGCUACAUGAAGCACGCAACUUUGUACAGUAGUAGCUGUGCAGUUAUGUAUCAUUAAACAGAUGGAUUUGAUUUUCUCACACUUUCUAUUUGCUGAGAAUAACAACUCUUAAAUCAAUGCUGAGGAGGUGAAAAGACAAGGACAAAAAUAUGCAAACAUCUGUAACCACCUGGACAAAGAAAUGCAGAACUAUGACCUGACAUGCAGAAUAACUAAAACUAACAGAUAAUUUAUUGACUAAAUCUCAUCUUGAGAUGGCCCCUCAGCUAUCAUACUGUAUGGGCUGCAUAGUACGUGUCUGAUGAAUUCUCUGCUACCGAGUGAAGCAAGUAUGUGUGGUCAGGCUUUUUGUUUCAUGACUGCCUUGGCUGGACAUGGCUGAUCAUAAGUGCUGACUUCUAAUUUUUUUUGUUGGGGCUGAAGAAGAGGAAUGGACCCAUCACAGAAUCUCCCAGAAACUGGAUUGCAAGGGAGGUUCAUCUGAAAGUCUCUCACCUCAUUUCUGGGUGGGAAGGUUGCCAACACACUUUGCUAGGUGGUGCUGGCUAAAGAAAUAGGAUAUCACCAGCCUAGCUCUAAGUGAGCUUUUACAAUAAAGGGGUUAAAACAUUUAUUUCUUCAUUGGCACUGUGCAUGGGAAAAGAAAUACCCACAGACUAGAACAGUAAGCAAGUGGAUAAAUCAAAAUAUUUGCUUUUCACAAAUGCCUGAUCUGUUAAGUGGAAGAGCUGAGAGAAUGUAAGCCUCCACUUCCCAUUUGUCCUGCUUUAGGC